UACAGAGGGUGCGAGCGUUAAUCGGAGUUACUGGGCGUAAAGGGCGCGUAGGCGGAUAUUUAAGUUAGAUGUGAAAACCCUGGGCUUAACCUGGGACGUGCAUUUAAAACUGGAUAACUUGAGUACUGUAGAGGGUAGUGGAAUUUCCGGUGUAGCGGUGAAAUGCGUAGAGAUCGGAAGGAACACCAGUGGCGAAGGCGACUACCUGGACAGAUACUGACGCUGAGGCGCGAAAGCGUGGGGAGCAAACAGG
rnacentral:rRNA from 1 species